rnacentral:lncRNA from 1 species
AAAAUACAUAAUGAGAAUAUACUGUAUAAAGAAUAUAGUAUGUUGUUGGGUCUUUCUUUUCUUUCUCUGCAUGUUCUUGUCCCUGUGUGUACAUUACAUGCCAUUACAUGCUUACAAUCAAAACCUACUUGGCAGAGACAGGAAGCUCCUGCGUUCAGUCCUUCGGGGAGUGACCUGUGAGAUGAUCGACAAAGUAGCGGACAACGAUAUGCAAGUCAUGGCUCAGGCUAUUACAGAGACUCCGCAGAGGAUCUCCAAAAAGCAGGCCGGAUGCGUUGCCCGGAAGCUUUUUGCAACUUUGGAGAAAGAGAGAGCUGACUAUUUCAAAACCAUCACUGACGAGGAGAUGCACAUGAUUCCCAAAUCCUUACUUCUUCAUCUGCCGUCUUCGAAGGUGAAGGAUUUGCAGGGCUCUGUGUGCCGCGUCUUACUCGACAAGAUGGAAGCGGCCGACCUGAGCUCAUUACCUGAAUUGUCCCUGUCUCGCCCCGCCCUCACCAAGAGAGCUCUGCUUUGCCUGGCAAAUGGGACAGAUUUAUUUGGGUUGACCGGUGACGAUGUGUCCAGACUUGGACCGUUUUUGUGUGAGCUUCAGUCUUCCCAACUGCUCCUCAUGGCCCCUGAAGUCCUCAAAUCCAGCCUCCAUGCCAUGACUUCCUGCGAUCACAUUCCUCGACGCCACAUGGCGGGUAUCAUUCAGCUGGUCACAAAGACUUUUGGGUAGGACGGGCUCCCUGUGCACGCUGAAGUUACUGCACAGAAAGCAACAGUCUGAUGC